ACUCCUACGGGAGGCAGCAGUGGGGAAUAUUGCACAAUGGGCGCAAGCCUGAUGCAGCCAUGCCGCGUGUGUGAAGAAGGCCUUCGGGUUGUAAAGCACUUUCAGUCGUGAGGAAGGUGAGUGUAAGUUAAUAGCUGCUAUUAUUUUGACGUUAGCGACAGAAGAAGCACCGGCUAACUCCGUGCCAGCAGCCGCGGUAAUACGGAGGGUGCGAGCGUUAAUCGGAAUUACUGGGCGUAAAGCGCAUGCAGGUGGUUUGUUAAGUCAGAUGUGAAAGCCCGGGGCUCAACCUCGGAAUUGCAUUG
rnacentral:rRNA from 1 species